rnacentral:rRNA from 1 species
UACAGAGGGUGCGAGCGUUAAUCGGAAUUACUGGGCGUAAAGCGUGCGUAGGCGGUUAUUUAAGUCGGAUGUGAAAGCCCCGGGCUCAACCUGGGAAUUGCAUUCGAGACUGAAUAGCUAGGGUGCGGUAGAGGGAAGCGGAAUUUCCGGUGUAGCGGUGAAAUGCGUAGAUAUCGGAAGGAACAUCAGUGGCGAAAGCGGCUGCCUGGACCAGCACCGACGUUCAGGCACGAAAGCGUGGGAGCAAACAGG